UACAGAGGGUGCAAACGUUGCUCGGAAUUAUUGGGCGUAAAGCGCAUGUAGGCGGUUUGUUAAGUCGGUUGUGAAAUCUCCGGGCUUAACUCGGAAAGGUCAACUGAUACUGUGCGACUAGAGUGCGGAAGGGGCAACUGGAAUUCUCGGUGUAGCGGUGAAAUGCGUAGAUAUCGAGAGGAACACCUGCGGCGAAGGCGGGUUGCUGGGCCGACACUGACGCUGAUGCGCGAAAGCCAGGGGAGCGAACGGG
rnacentral:rRNA from 1 species